rnacentral:rRNA from 1 species
GACGAACGCUGGCGGCGUGCCUAAUACAUGCAAGUAGAACGCAGUUGCGAACGGGUGAGUAACGCGUAGGUAACUUCCUCAUAGCGGGGGAUAACCAUUGGAAACGAUAGCUAAUACCGCAUACUGUGAGAUGGACUGGCGUUGUAUUGGCUAGUUGGUGGGGUAAAGGCCCACCAAGGCGACGAUACAUAGCCGGCCUGAGAGGGUGAUCGGCCAAGCUGGGACUUAGUCACGGCCCGGACUCGUACGGGAGGCAGCAGUGGGGAAACUUCGGCAAUGGACGGAAGUCUGACCGAGCAACGCCGCGGGAGUGAAGAAGGUUUUCGGAGCGUAAAACUCUGUUGGUAGAGAAGCGGUACCUGACCAGAAAGGGACGGCUAACUACGUGCCAGCAGCCGCGGUAAUUC